rnacentral:rRNA from 1 species
CCUACGGGGUGCUGCAGUGAGGAAUAUUGGUCAAUGGGCGCGAGCCUGAACCAGCCAAGUCGCGUGAGGGAUGACGGCCCUACGGGUUGUAAACCUCUUUUGUCGGGGAGCAAAUUCCGCCACGUGUGGCGGAAUCGAGAGUACCCGAAGAAAAAGCAUCGGCUAACUCCGUGCCAGCAGCCGCGGUAAUACGGAGGAUGCGAGCGUUAUCCGGAUUUAUUGGGUUUAAAGGGUGCGUAGGGGGAAUGUCAAGUCCGCGGUAAAAUACGGGGCUCAACCCCGUCCGGCCGUUGAAACUGGGGGCCUUGAGGGGGCGAGAAGAAGGCGGAAUGCGUGGUGUAGCGGUGAAAUGCAUAGAUAGCACGCAGAACCCCGAUUGCGAAGGCAGCAUACCGGCGCCCUACUGACGCUGAGGCACGAAAGUGUGGGGAUCGAACAGGAUUAGAUACCCGAGUAGUC